CUUGAGCGAGCCGAGCCACAGCGGGUCGCCGGUACGGUCACGGCCGUACGUGGCCAGCAGCGCCUGCGCCUC
rnacentral:antisense_RNA from 1 species